rnacentral:rRNA from 1 species
UCGAGCGAGACCGGGGCUUCGGCCCCGGGGACAGCGGCGAACGGGUGAGUAACACGUGGAUAACCUGCCCUCGGCACCGGGAUAGCCCGGGGAAACCCGGAUUAAUACCGGAUGGCCCUUCCGGCUCUCGAGCCGGUCGGAAAAGGUAGCUUCGGCCUCCGGCCGAGGAUGGGUCCGCGGCGGAUUAGCUUGUUGGUGGGGUAAUGGCCCACCAAGGCUCCGAUCCGUAGCUGGUCUGAGAGGACGAUCAGCCACACUGGGACUGAGACACGGCCCAGACUCCUACGGGAGGCAGCAGUGGGGAAUCUUGCGCAAUGGGCGAAAGCCUGACGCAGCGACGCCGCGUGAGGGAAGACGGCCUUCGGGUUGUAAACCUCUUUUAAGAGGGAAGAAGCCACUCGGGUGAAUAGCCCAGAGGGUGACGGUACCUCUAGAAUAAGCCCCGGCUAACUACGUGCCAGCAGCCGCGGUAAUACGUAGGGGGCAAGCGUUGUCCGGAUUUACUGGGCGUAAAGAGCGUGUAGGCGGCCAGACAGGUCCGUUGUGAAAACUGGAGGCUCAACCUUCAGACGUCGACGGAAACCGUCUGGCUAGAGUCCGGAAGAGGAGAGUGGAAUUCCUGGUGUAGCGGUGAAAUGCGCAGAUAUCA